GGGGGUGAAAGGGCUCGACUUAAGCCGUCGGGUAAAAGUAGCAUGCCGCGGACGCAUGGUUAGCCGCGUUAAUAACCCGUGCAAAAUACAAACGCAAACAACCGUUUGUUCAGUGCCACUGCCAGGCCAAUGGUUAUGCCAAUGGCCGGCAUGGUCCCAGUCUUCGCUAACUAAUUUAGCGAAGCCUCUAUCCGUCCUCGCCUACGGGGUGGAAUAGAGCACUAGUAGGAUAGUUUAAGGCAGGUUAGCCUUUGGGCCUUAAGCGAAACUUUAAAAGGCUAAGGCUUAUAAUAUCCUGCCCCGCAGGGUGUUAUAAGCUUAAGUUGAAAUGCGGGGCUAAGCAUGUAGCGGCUUUUAUUCGGUUGUUUAAGGACUCCGGUCCAAUUCCGGACACCUCCACCA
rnacentral:tmRNA from 2 species